UCUCCCAACUAUGGCGGUUGGAGGCAGUUAUGGGUGUGGCCUAGAGGCUGAUUGACACUCCCUAACCCCACCUCCGCUUCCGCACCGGUGAUUGGAGGCAGCAAGAGGCGUGGUGUGGGCGGCUUGACCUAACUUACACCCCGAACUGGGAUGAUGCAGUGAGGGGCGUGGCGCAGCAGGUCACAAGCUGGAAGGCAGCAGCCUUGGCGCCACUGUUAGAGGUCAUCGUAGCACACAGAGCCGCAGAGCGGAGUGGACUAAUGAACGUCUUUCCUGUUGGUCUGACACUGCUGUCACCGUCUGCGUCAAGAGCACCGACAGCCUUCUGAUGUCCAAACUGUGGCGGGCGAGCUGCUGAGCAGCAUGAUGAAACCCUUCUGUUAAAGCUGAGCCCAGAAGCGCUCGGUGCGGACUACAGAGGAGUCAACGGUGGAAUACUCCAGAAGUGCUGCAUCUUUUAGCAGGACUGGAAACAGUUGAGGUCCGUCUGCUCCCAGGCCGUAGAUGGGACAGGCAAGGCCGGCAGGCAGCUUGAACAUGGUUGAAACCUGAUAUACAGCUCUUGGGAAAGUUUCUCACGCAGAUUUGUCUGUCGGGAUGGGGCUGCAAAAGUAGGGGAAAGGUCAAAUGUCUGGGUUGUGCCUCGGUAGGGUGCAAUGGGUAUUAAAGCAAUGAGUCUAAAGCCAGGGUUCUCCGUCCAUUCAUUCCACAAAUAUUUAUUGAGCACCUACGAUGUGCCAGGCUUCCUGUGCCUUUGCGGGGUGGUGCCUACGAAAGUCCACCGGCUCGCUGAUGGAUGGAGACGGGGGGAAGUGGGUUCUGCAGCAAGUGGGGAGGGAUUCUGAAGGGAGGGGUCUAGAAUGGUUGGGGAGAUAAAGGCUGUGCGGCCAAGAGGGUGCUUUCUGGCUUCAGGGCCUUGCCUGAGGUCUGGGGAGUCUGGGAUGGACAGGACAAAGAAGAGCUCUCUCUGGGAAGAAGAACCAACAUGGAGGCAAGGCAGGCUUUGAACAAGAUGGGAAGUCCAGGGCCACUUCCUUCUUCAGCCCAGCCUGCCCUCUCAAACACCGUGGUUCUCGCAGAAGGGCACAGGGGUGCCUGCUGCCUGGCAGGAGGGUGAGGAGAAGGACGAGCAUACCACCUUCAGCCGCCACGUGGUGAGCCCUCCCCUGCCCUAUGAAAGUGGAGAGAUGGAAGAGCAUCCAGAGCCAAAGUAAGAAGCUGGCUGGGCAAGGGAGGAGGGCAGCCCCGGGAAGAGGGCUGGAGGCGGCAGGCACACGGGAGAAACAAACGGGACCCCAAGGAAGAGAGGCCCUGCUUCGUCCAACCAAUCAAGGUCCUUCUGGUGGCUUUCUGGGAGCUUGAGGGGAGGCCUCUGGAAGCAGUGGUGGCACCAGGGGCCUGGAGUAAGGACCCUAGUGACAGCUCAGUGACCCCCGGUGACCCGUGGUCCUCUAGGAAUGCCGCUUCCCUUCCACAUGGGCACCCGGCUCUCUUCCGCGUUCCCCUUUCCAGACUGAAUUCCACUCUUAACAGUGGCCGCCUUUCCUUACUCUGUUCCACCACCCGACAGCCUUGUGCACACACGACCUGCCCAUCGCUGUGACAGCGACAACCAAAUUAUACUCUUGAUUUCCAGGCUCCUGUGAGG